CGCGGGUCCAAGCCUGUCGCCCCAAAUCGGAUAAUCUCUGCAGCUGAUAACAAGCAAAAGAGAAGCCAGGCAACAUCCAUAUUAAGAAGAAAACAACUCUGAGG
rnacentral:lncRNA from 1 species